AAUCUGAUCCAAUACGAAAACUCCGCGCGUGCUACAACCGUUCGCUCCUCUCCCAUUGUAGCUUCGUAUUAGCACAAAACAAACAAACCCUAACUCUAACCCUAGUCGAAACCCCUUAUCCGAUCAUGGCUACUGAUGCCCGUGACUCGCGUCGCAAGUAUCGCCGAUCAUCCUCUCCGGAGGACGUGGACAGAUCCUCGAAGCGCCACAAGCACCGCCACCACAGCCACCGCCACCGCCACGGGAGCAAAAAACGCGACGAAGAGAUUAAAUUCGAUGAUCGAACAAUUGGUGCGGUUCCUUCUCCAACUCCGCACGGGCAUCUCCCUGACGACGAUGAUGUGGAGGAGGGAGAGAUCCUUGAAGAUGAGGCUCUCGACGGCGAGGUUGGGAAAAAGGAGACGGAAUCUGAUGCUGAACCCGGUGAAAUCAAGGUGACGGGAGAUCGAGAUGUUCGAUCUGAUAAUCAAAAUUCGGGACACCUUACUAAAAUUUCAGUAACUAGAAAUGAGGACAUUAGGGAUGAUAAAUUUAUUAGUCCUGCAAUCAAUGCAGAAGAUGAUGUCUCUCCUAAUUGUUCAAGUUCUGAGACUCGGGAUGGAAAGCAUGCUCAAGCUCGUACAGAUGGCGUGGGCAAUGGUUUUUUGGAUCCUAAAUCUUCCAAAGGGGAUAAGUGGCACAAUGGGGAACUUGGACAUUUUAAAGGUAAUGAGAAACUAAAAGGAGACUUUGAUGAUGAAACACUGGAGGCUAAUGUGAGGAAAGCACAUUACAAUAGGAAUUCAUCCUCUGAAAGUGGAGGGGGAAAAUAUAGAAUGUCAGGAAGUUCUCCUUCUCAUGGUAGAUAUAGAAGUCGAUCAAGAUCAAUUGGUCAUACUAGAGACAGGUCUCGCUCUCGUAGUAUCAUAGAUGAAUAUGCUCAUUCCAAGAGAAGGCGCUCUGACUAUGACCAUGAUGAGGAAAGAGUGAGGGUACGUGGAAGGGAGCAUGGUCAUGGCAGUGUGGUAGAUGAUAGAAGGGAAUACAGUACCAGAUAUCACAAUCGAGAGGCCAGGGAUAGAGAUAGGAGUAGGGAUAGAGAUGUGGAUAGAGACUUGCACAGAGAAAAGAAACAAGAGGAAACUAGCAGGGGUAAAGAGAUUGAGUGGGAACACAAAAGGGGAAAGGAACGUGAAAGGAGCCGUGAGAGGUAUAGAAGGGAUGCAGAAAAAGAUAGGAGCAGGGAAAGGGAGGAGGAUGGGGACAGGAGACAAGAAAAGGAAAGAGAUAGGAGCUGGGAUACAGUGUUUGAGAGGGAUAGGAGAAGGGAAAAGGAAAGAGAUAGAAGUAGGGACAGAACAAUAGGUGGCAAGAGAGAUAGAGACCCGGAGAAUGAAAGGGAUGAUAAGAAUCGGGAAAGGCGAGAUGAUAGAUAUGGGCACAAAGAUAGAGACACUGCAAAUGGUAAGGAUAGGCAUCUGCGUCAUGAGGAUGGUAAUGACAACGGAGAUAGAUAUAGAAAACAUUCAAGGCAUGAAGAAAAUGAAUACCAUUGGGAAAGAAAAAGAAAUUCUGAUAAUCCUGUAAAGGUUUAUAAUUCAAUGGGAAGUACUGCAGAAGUGGAUGAAAGCAAACUAACAAGCAGUGAGGUUGAACCAGAUGACUUAGAGGAGGAUACAUUGCAAUUACCUGAGCAAGAAGAGGAAGAUCUCAACAGGAUUAAAGAAGAGAGUAGAAGAAGAAGGGAAGCAAUAAUGGAGAAAUACAAGAAGCAGCAUCAGCAAGUAGAAGCAGUGGUUGGAAAUGAAGGAAAUGACAAGGAUGCAGACAUUCCUAAUGACAUCUCUGAAGCAUGUGAUGGUAAGACUGAUGAUGCUGAUUAUGUGGAGCCAUCAUUUGCUGUUGGGAAAUCUCCUGAAAAUGUGAAUGUUGCUUCUAAGAAGAUAUCUCCUGCUGGAGGCCUGGGUGAGGGUACUCCAAAGAGUGAAAGGUCAGAGGACAAGUUUUGUGAUGAUAUAUUUGGUGAGACGCCAACGGGAGUUCGGAAAUCAGGAAAAGGAGAUGGUUUGCUGAUUGAGAGGGUUGGCCUACAUGACAAUUGGGACGAUGCAGAGGGUUAUUAUAGCUAUCGUAUUGGUGAAAUACUUGAUAGCCGAUAUGAAGUCACAGCUGCACAUGGGAGGGGUGUCUUUUCGACAGUUGUUCGGGCAAAGAAUCUAAAGAUGGGAAAUGGUGAGCCUGAAGAAGUAGCAAUAAAAAUUAUUCGUAGUAAUGACACCAUGUACAAGGCUGGUAUGGAUGAAUUGGUCAUAUUGAAGAAAUUAGUAGGUGCAGAUCCAGAUGAUAAGCGUCAUUGUGUUCGUUUCCUUUCAAGUUUUAGAUACAGGAAUCAUCUUUGUUUAGUUUUUGAAUCUCUUAAUAUGAAUCUGCGUGAGGUUUUAAAGAAGUUUGGUCGCAAUAUUGGCCUUAGGCUUACAGCUGUGAGAGCAUACGCAAAACAGCUUUUUAUUGCUCUGAAGCAUCUCCGGAACUGUGGUGUUCUUCAUUGUGAUAUAAAGCCAGAUAAUAUGUUGGUAAAUGAGGCUAAGAAUGUUUUGAAGCUUUGUGACUUUGGUAAUGCCAUGUUUGCUGGUAAAAAUGAAGUUACACCAUAUCUUGUGAGUCGUUUUUAUCGUGCCCCGGAAAUAAUACUUGGUUUGCCAUAUGAUCAUCCACUGGAUAUUUGGUCUGUAGGUUGUUGUUUGUAUGAGUUGUAUAUAGGGAAGGUUCUUUUCCCAGGGUUUACAAACAAUGACAUGCUACGGCUUCACAUGGAACUGAAGGGCCCUUUUCCAAAGAAGAUGCUGCGUAAGGGAGCAUUUACUGAACAGCAUUUUGAUCAGGAUCUGAAUUUUCUUGCUACUGAGGAGGAUCCUGUAACAAAAAGGACCAUAAAGCGACUGAUACUCAACAUUAAGCCAAAAGAUAUUGGGACACUCAUUACUGGCUCUCCUGGGGAGGAUCCAAAAAUGUUAGCCAACUUUAAGGAUCUUCUGGAAAAAGUUUUUGUCUUGGAUCCAGACAAGAGGCUGACAGUGUCACAAGCUCUGAACCACCCAUUCAUCACUGGCAAGUGAACAAUGUUGCUGAAUUUGAAUCCCAAAAUGAUAUACACUGAUAUUUGUACAUAAUGAUCCAAUUGAUAUUGAGGUUCUAAUUAUUUGGCACUAUUUAUCUUCUGUGUAUGGCCCAAGGAGUGUCAUCACAGUUGUUGGCAUGUUGAAGUGAAAAAGGGUGAUGUCGCUACAGGCGUACACUUUACUGGCGGUUCUUUCAGUGGAAUGUACUGUUUCUAUUGAGACAUACCACUGGUUUGAGGCAUCCCUUCCAUGCUUAGAUGCUUAAAAGGAACCCAGGAGAAGGUACCUUGGCUUGUUUAUUGGGAGAUUAAUUUCACUGUGCUGGAAUGAAUUAUGAUCCCCAUUAAAAUUCAUUGACAGUGCCAAUAGAAUAAUUGCCACAUUUGAGUGGGAGUUUAUUAAGAUGAGCUGAAUGGUCAUUUUUCAGUCAUGAGGAUAAUCAAUGGUUAUUGGUGAUGUACGUUUGAGUACAUGUGAGCAAAUUAAUUGUUUAUUUUAUUAGCUAGGUAGUCAGGGGGAGGGGAAAUGGUUAGUAUCAAACCUUCUUCCUCAUCCAGAUACAGCUGCCACUGGGCCAUAUGCCUAGCUGCUACUGCCUUUAAAUCAUUUCAGUAUAAAUGAUGGAAUCCCAAGUACUACUGCCUUUUCUGCUUCUUCCUUAUUAUUCUUUUCAGUUUUGUAACUUGAGUUGUGUGUGUAGAUAUCUUAUUUCUUGAACUGUACUUGAGUUGUAUUCUUUUGUUAACAUUUAUUUUCUUAAAUUUACAUAUAUGCAUAUCCUAGUGAACUUGUGCUGCAUCUUAUUCAUGAUGGUGUGUCAUUCUGGAGGCAAUUCUACUGGAUGCGUUUGGCUUUGUUCUUGAAGUGAGAAUUCAUUUCACGGUACUGCAUCUUGGCCAUGCAAUUUUUGUAAGUAUGUCCAAUUUCUCUCUCAUUUUUGUCAAUGUUGAUGGCAUUGAUGGUCCUUGGCAUCCAGUUUCAUAGAAGUUUCACAUCAAGUUCUUGAUUCUGUUUCUAAAUUUGAUGAAUAUCAAGUUUCAAAUUGCACUAAAACUUUCCCGUUGUGUGUUUCUGAUGUUUAAUGUAGAUGGGGUUUAAGUCAGCAUUUUCGUGUAGGGUUCUGUGCCUGUGUUGUUUCUUCUGAUUUAACAUGGUGUUCUUGGCUAUGCUGCUGUUUGGUCAGUUUUGUACUUUUUCUUGACAUCCAUUGAUGAGCAUGUUGAUUCCGUUUUAUUUAUUUUAGAGAAUGAAAUGGAGUUUUAUUUUUUGGUAAAAAUUCAUUUCUUGAAGUAACGCAAUACACAUACACGCCCUCAAUCACACUUCCGUUAAUGUGUGAGUUUUGGUUAUUUCUGAAUUUAGGGGAGGGGAUGGUUAGCCCAGUCUAGGGUUGGGAUACAGCAAUACAGGGGACUAGCAAAUAACCCACCGGAUUCAAAACUCAAUUGCAGUGUUUAUAACGGGCAGAGGAUGACAAGGUGAGCCAAAUUCUUUUGGUAGCCUUCAGUGUAUUGGGCAUCAUGGGAUUUACAUUAUGUCAAUCUACCUUUUUAUAUUUUCAAUUUCGAGAAUGAAGAAAAAAUAAAGUAGCUUUAAAAUUUUAAAUAAAAUAAUCAUUAGCCAUAGUUUAUGAUUGGGUAAUUAUGAUAUCAACUGAUCUAUAAAUAGUCAACCUCACCCAGCGGGAAAAGGUUUACUUGAUAGCCAUAGCUUUACUAAUUUCCGAUUUCUAUAAUUGGAAACAACUACCUAAUAACUACCAUCUCCUAUUUUAUGGAUCAAUCUUGUAUCUUGGAGCAACAAAUAAGACCCGUGUCAAACAUUGUCCUAUUAAUGUAGAUGUACCUUGGUUGUACAACUUUUAAUGGAAACUUUCAAAAUGGGAUUGUCCUUGGAUGUGGGUAGUUUCUACCUGAUUCUUGAUAUAUGUCACGCUUAUUCACUUAAUAUCCCGAUCACUUCUGCCGUGUAAUGUUGUAUAGCUUAAAUGGUAUUUUCCUUUAGUAAAGCAUUUUUGUAAAGUAUUCCAAAAAGAAUGCCGAUUUUAUUGAGUCAUUUGAAAUGUUUAUAUUUCAUUGAUGUGGAUCCCCAGAGUAUCAAUUUUCAUGGGUAAGAAAUACUGCAAGUCUGGUACUUGGAGUGAAUAUUUAUUGAGUCAGCUAACAGAGUUGAAGAUAUAGAGAAUAGUGAAAUGAAGUGGCAAUUACAUAGCGUAGUGUGGUAUUGCAUGGUAGGCCAAGGCCUCAGUUUUCUUCGCAGAAUUCUCUGCCCCAGCCGGUCCAGCUCUACACAUGGUAUUGCAUGUGUUAUUAGCAUUUCUCUUCCAUGUUUUUUUUAGAAUGUUGAGCUAAGUUUUAUUUAGGAUUUUUUUUUAAAUAAUCGGGAAAAGGCUUACAAAGUCCUCAGGCAAGAGAGUAAGCCGAAUCCUACACUUGACGGUGAAUAAGAUUAACUUUCCUCCUCUGAGGAACAAGCUUGGGUUGCAGAAAGAAUGUAGCUCUGAUAUCCUCACACCUCUGUAAAACCCACGUUGAUUCCCCGCUCUAUGAAGGCUUGUAUAGUAAUAAUUGACUGUUAUUCCACUUUCCCAAAAACUAAUUGUCUGGGCAGGGCGUACCCAAAUACAAAUGUACGUGUGUAUGUUAGAUCGAGAUAUGGAAAUGAAAAUAUGAUCUGGUGUAGUUGUGGGGGUAA